rnacentral:rRNA from 1 species
UUGACCUCGAAUCAGGUAGGGAUACCCGCUGAACUUAAGCAUAUCAAUAAGCGGAGGAAAAGAAACCAACCGGGAUUACCUCAGUAACGGCGAGUGAAGCGGUAACAGCUCAAAUUUGAAAUCUGGCUCCUGCGGAGUCCGAGUUGUAAUUUGUAGAAGAUGCUUUGGGAGGUAGGACCGGCCUAAGUUCCUUGGAACAGGACAUCAGAGAGGGUGAGAAUCCCGUAUGCGGCCGAGGCCUAUGCCCGUGUAAAGCUCUUUCGACGAGUCGAGUUGUUUGGGAAUGCAGCUCAAAAUGGGUGGUAAAUUUCAUCUAAAGCUAAAUAUUGGCCAGAGACCGAUAGCGCACAAGUAGAGUGAUCGAAAGAUGAAAAGCACUUUGGAAAGAGAGUUAAACAGUACGUGAAAUUGUUGAAAGGGAAGCGCUUGCACCCAGACUUGGGCGUCGUCGAUCAUCCGAGGUUCUCCUCGGUGCACUCGGCGAUGCGCAGGCCAGCAUCGGUUUGGGUGGUUGGAGAAAGGCCUCUAGGAACGUAGCUCUCUUCGGGGAGUGUUAUAGCCUAGGGCGUAAUGCAGCCCAUCCGGACCGAGGACCGCGCCUUUGGGCUAGGAUGCUGGCGUAAUGGUUGCAAGCGACCCGUCUUGAAACACGGACCAAGGAGUCUAACAUCUAUGCGAGUGUUUGGGCGUUAAACCCAUACGCGGAAUGAAAGUGAACGUAGGUGAGAACCCGUUAGGGUGCAUCAUCGACC